rnacentral:rRNA from 2 species
UACCCGCUGAACUUAAGCAUAUCAAUAAGCGGAGGAAAAGAAACCAACAGGGAUUGCCCUAGUAACGGCGAGUGAAGCGGCAACAGCUCAAAUUUGAAAUCUGGCGUCUUUGGCGUCCGAGUUGUAAUUUGCAGAGGGCGCUUUGGCAUUGGCAGCGGUCCAAGUUCCUUGGAACAGGACGUCACAGAGGGUGAGAAUCCCGUACGUGGUCGCUAGCCUUUACCGUGUAAAGCCCCUUCGACGAGUCGAGUUGUUUGGGAAUGCAGCUCUAAAUGGGAGGUAAAUUUCUUCUAAAGCUAAAUACUGGCCAGAGACCGAUAGCGCACAAGUAGAGUGAUCGAAAGAUGAAAAGCACUUUGGAAAGAGAGUUAAAAAGCACGUGAAAUUGUUGAAAGGGAAGCGCUUGCAGCCAGACUUGCCUGUAGUUGCUCAUCCGGGUUUCUACCCGGUGCACUCUUCUACAGGCAGGCCAGCAUCAGUUUGGGCGGUUGGAUAAAGGUCUCUGUCAUGUACCUCUCUUCGGGGAGAACUUAUAGGGGAGACGACAUGCAACCAGCCUGGACUGAGGUCCGCGCAUCUGCUAGGAUGCUGGCGUAAUGGCUGUAAGCGGCCCGUCUUGAAACACGGACCAAGGAGUCUAACAUCUAUGCGAGUGUUUGGGUGUCAAGCCCGAGCGCGUAAUGAAAGUGAACGGAGGUGGGAACCUUUCGGGGUGCACCAUCGACCGAUCCUGAUGUCUUCGGAUGGAUUUGAGUAAGAGCAUAGCUGUUGGGACCCGAAAGAUGGUGAACUAUGCUUGAAUAGGGUGAAGCCAGAGGAAACUCUGGUGGAGGCUCGCAGCGGUUCUGACGUGCAAAUCGAUCGUCAAAUUUGGGCAUAGGGGCGAAAGACUAAUCGAACUAUCUAGUAGCUGGUUCCUGC